UUCAUCUAUAAGACCAAGGGUUGAUUUCUGCAGCUCUUUACUCUAUGGGCUCCCUCACACUCUCCUCAGUCAAUUCCAAUGUGUCCAACACCUUACAGCUAGACUUGUAACCCACACCAGACCCUGGCAGCACAUCACUUCUACACGUGAGUCUCUACAUCUCUAUUUCUUUUUGACCACCAUUGGAAAACAUCCACUACUACCAAGCACAUGUUGGGGUUGCUUUUGACCCAUCUUAAAAUGCUUGCUACCAGCCAUAAAUGUGCUGAAGCACAGACAGUGAAGAGCAAAUGGUAAAUGCUUGACUUAUCAGGUGCCAUAGAAUGCACCAGGAAUUAUCAGUCAUUCAUUCAUACACACGCUUUACAUUGCACCACACACUGCAAACAUUUUACAACCAAACAGGACAAAAUCCGUAUGACAGAAGGCUAAACGACAUGUUUCUGCUAAUUUUUUAUUGAUUUAUAAUGCCUGGCAGAUGGUUAGAGCUGAAACAGUUGAUAAGUUGGUUGAUUAACAGCAAUAGGCCUGGCCUUUCUAAGAGAGUGCUCACUCUCUAGUGUGGAAGAAUAUAGGAGAGCGAGCCUGCGAUUUUAAAUGCUGACUUGACAGUUUUAACAUGGCCAUAUUUAUCACUUUAUGAUGUAUUCCCAGACUAUGCUGCUACAGAGAAUGUAAGUGCACUCUCAAUCACAGCUCAAUAAAAUUCAGUCAUAAUAUCCUUCCUUACACUAAAACAUUUCGACUGGCUGAGAAAAAAUAUAUGCUAUAGUUUCUCUUUAAAAUGUAUUUGUAGAUUUUCCUAUCAUUAAAAAGACAAACAUUCAGACAGCAAUCAGCAGUGCAGCACUAUUACUGGACAUGGGAAAUACCAGAGGCUCACUGCCAUAUACUGUAUCAAGGUAUGAGAUUGGAGAACAUGAGAAAAAAGAACUAAGGCAACAACAACAGAACAGGGUCGCUAGACCAGAACAACAGAAGUGUAGAGCAAGCUAAGAUUUGGGCAAAAGAUUGGCAGGAAUCUAUUAAGGGUCCAAAGAGCUGUAGAUGAUUUAAAAAAUGCUAUGUUGAAUGAAAAGAAUUGACCCAUGAGUUGCAAACUAGUUUUUUCAAGUCAGGAGUUGAACUACAUCCCUAACCCACCGCAUCAGUGAAGCCAGGGCAGCGUGCUUCCAGCUGAUCAAAAUUAGACGUGAUUGCAAAAGUCAGGGAAUCUGGCCUGCAUAUAGGCAGAGAAAUGUUAGUGGGCACCAAUAGCAACUGGUCUUGAAUGAUAAGUGGUCCAACGUUAGUUCACAUCCCCACAGAAAGAGAUUGACAGUAAAUCUGAAAGGCUAGAAAGAAGCCAGUCUGGGACAGGAUCGAAACUCAAGCCAAACAGGGGCACGCACACAUCUGCCACAUGCUGUCACAUUGGUACACAAUUGACCUAGUUUUUGAUACAAGAACACCUUGCAAAAUUCUCCAUUGUAAUCCUUGUUAAAGGAAGAUAUCAAUCUGUACCUGAUGUGACAGUCUGGGGGAGAUUAGAGUGGUGAUAAGGGGAAAGAUGAAAACUUGUUAUGGACAGAGAUAAUGAAAAUAUACGUUUUAGGAAUAUCAAAAUGAGUGAGGUAGAAAAUCCUAAUUGUUUGAUCAGCUAUCUGUGUACAGAUACUUCAUGCUUCCGAUACCAUUUUCAUAACAUAUCCCAGAAGGCCACUUCUCCUGAAGAAGAACAGCACAGGGUUCAGAACUGGAAGUUUGUGGGUUCAAAUCCCAGGAGAAACCUAUGAUGACUCGGCACACAGGGAGACUGCGGUGAUUCCAAGGCAGGAGCUGAAGUCCACACACAGGCUGGUGCACGGCGAGCCGAGGUAAAAGGAUAAGGGAGAGAGGAAGUGGGAAAACACAAGGGAGAAUCCGAAGGAGUGUGCAAAACACGGAGUCAGACCGGGGAGGGUACGUAGCCUUGUGGUCCCCACAGUGAACAGGCCAGGGAGGAGGAUCCAGGAUCCUGGUCAGGAGACGAAGCAAGAGGACGGUCCAGAGCAAGCUCGAGGAGACACAAGCAAAGCAAGGCAGAAGCAAAUCGGAAUGGAGCACAGCAAGACAAGCAGAGACUCAGGAGAAAACCCCAUGACAGAGCUCCAGGACUUCAGUCAGGACUUAACACCAAUUAAUUAGAGGCAGGGGGUACUGAUAAUCGCCCACAUCGCGUACGGACAGCCCCAGUGGAUGUUUUAGACAGCUUGGAGAUGCAGUUGGUUGCAGUAGCGAUUUGGGGGCAUGAGCUCACAUUCACACAGGCCUGCUGUAAAACACAGGCUUUAAGGGUCUCUUGACUGGUCGGAUUUCACUCUGCUCUUUGCCGGCAAAUGCAAAAGAUUUUGCUGAAGAGAAAAAAAGACAAGGGUUAGGGAAAAUCCCUGCAAAUCCCGCCGAACUCAACAGGGAGAUGUGCAGUGUACAAUCCCUUGCUAAGGACAGAAAGCUCAUCGGCAGCCCUGUUUCCUGUCUGUCGAACGCUGUGCUCUGGAGCUGAUUUCGGCUUCCUGGGUGCUAUGAGCAGCCGUUCUCCCAGCCCGUUGUCGCCUCGCCUCUGAAGACCUGCUCGAUCAAGAGCUGCAGGAAAUCCGACAGACGUGGGUGCCGUAAGCAUAUGAAGGAGGAUUUGUCAUCAGUAAGCCAAAGAGAACAGCCAAAGAAAUGCACUGCAUGUUCCAGGAUGUACUGUAAGUGACAGGCAAAGUUAAGGCUGAAAUGUAGCCUUCAUAUAUGUAAAAUAAAAAAGAGCACUCAGAGA